CGGCAUGCCUAAUACAUGCAAGUCGAACGGUAACAGGUCGCUGUGAUCCCUUCCGGGGUGGAACUUGAUGCUGACGAGUGGCGGACGGGUGAGUAAUGCUUGGGAAUCUGCCCACGUAGUGGGGGACGAACACGGGAAACGUACGUGCUAAUACCGCAUACGUCCCCUUCGUUUGAUUACGAGGGAGAAAGUGGGGGAGUCUUCGGACCUCACGCUAUUGGAUGAGCCCAAGUCGGAUUAGCUUGUUGGUGGGGUAACGGCUUACCAAGGCGACGAUCCGUAGCUGGUCUGAGAGGACGAUCAGCCACACUGGGACUGAGACACGGCCCAGACUCCUACGGGAGGCAGCAGUAGGGAAUAUUGGACAAUGGGCGCAAGCCUGAUCCAGCAAUGCCGCGUGUGUGAAGAAGGCCUGCGGGUUGUAAAGCACUUUCAGUAGAGAAGAAAAGCCUCGGGUUAAUACCCCGGAGUCUUGACGUAACCUACAGAAGAAGCACCGGCUAACUCCGUG
rnacentral:rRNA from 1 species